AUGUGAUUCCAAAGCUUAUCUUUAUAUUGUAGCUGGCGAGAUGACCAUCAAGGCUGAAGUAUGGCAACACUGUGCUGUUUGAGAGUAAACGGAGAGACAAGUUGCAAUUGAAAAUGUUAUCUUUUCCAUUAUUGGAAGCCUUGACCACUUCAAGCAAGUUGAAGGCAGAACACUCCAAGCAUGAUGGAAUCCCUUCUCUUGUCCGGCAGCAUUAGUGGAUGCUGGCGAGAUGACCAUCAAGGCUGAAGUAUGGCAACACUGUGCUGUUUGAGAGUAAACGGAGAGACAAGUUGCAAUUGAAAAUGUUAUCUUUUCCAUUAUUGGAAGCCUUGACCACUUCAAGCAAGUUGAAGGCAGAACACUCCAAGCAUGAUGGAAUCCCUUCUCUUGUCCGGCAGCAUUAGUGGAUGCUGGCGAGAUGACCAUCAAGGCUGAAGUAUGGCAACACUGUGCUGUUUGAGAGUAAACGGAGAGACAAGUUGCAAUUGAAAAUGUUAUCUUUUCCAUUAUUGGAAGCCUUGACCACUUCAAGCAAGUUGAAGGCAGAACACUCCAAGCAUGAUGGAAUCCCUUCUCUUGUCCGGCAGCAUUAGUGGAUGCUGGCGAGAUGACCAUCAAGGCUGAAGUAUGGCAACACUGUGCUGUUUGAGAGUAAACGGAGAGACAAGUUGCAAUUGAAAAUGUUAUCUUUUCCAUUAUUGGAAGCCUUGACCACUUCAAGCAAGUUGAAGGCAGAACACUCCAAGCAUGAUGGAAUCCCUUCUCUUGUCCGGCAGCAUUAGUGGAUGCUGGCGAGAUGACCAUCAAGGCUGAAGUAUGGCAACACUGUGCUGUUUGAGAGUAAACGGAGAGACAAGUUGCAAUUGAAAAUGUUAUCUUUUCCAUUAUUGGAAGCCUUGACCACUUCAAGCAAGUUGAAGGCAGAACACUCCAAGCAUGAUGGAAUCCCUUCUCUUGUCCGGCAGCAUUAGUGGAUGCUGGCGAGAUGACCAUCAAGGCUGAAGUAUGGCAACACUGUGCUGUUUGAGAGUAAACGGAGAGACAAGUUGCAAUUGAAAAUGUUAUCUUUUCCAUUAUUGGAAGCCUUGACCACUUCAAGCAAGUUGAAGGCAGAACACUCCAAGCAUGAUGGAAUCCCUUCUCUUGUCCGGCAGCAUUAGUGGAUGACAAGUUGCAAUUGAAAAUGUUAUCUUUUCCAUUAUUGGAAGCCUUGACCACUUCAAGCAAGUUGAAGGCAGAACACUCCAAGCAUGAUGGAAUCCCUUCUCUUGUCCGGCAGCAUUAGUGGAUGACAAGUUGCAAUUGAAAAUGUUAUCUUUUCCAUUAUUGGAAGCCUUGACCACUUCAAGCAAGUUGAAGGCAGAACACUCCAAGCAUGAUGGAAUCCCUUCUCUUGUCCGGCAGCAUUAGUGGAUGCUGGCGAGAUGACCAUCAAGGCUGAAGUAUGGCAACACUGUGCUGUUUGAGAGUAAACGGAGAGACAAGUUGCAAUUGAAAAUGUUAUCUUUUCCAUUAUUGGAAGCCUUGACCACUUCAAGCAAGUUGAAGGCAGAACACUCCAAGCAUGAUGGAAUCCCUUCUCUUGUCCGGCAGCAUUAGUGGAUGCUGGCGAGAUGACCAUCAAGGCUGAAGUAUGGCAACACUGUGCUGUUUGAGAGUAAACGGAGAGACAAGUUGCAAUUGAAAAUGUUAUCUUUUCCAUUAUUGGAAGCCUUGACCACUUCAAGCAAGUUGAAGGCAGAACACUCCAAGCAUGAUGGAAUCCCUUCUCUUGUCCGGCAGCAUUAGUGGAUGGUGGGUACCAUGAAAACAUAUUAGGAUGAUAGUCCAGUUUGGUUUGCUAGGUUUCACCAGAGUUAUGAGCUUCUAUUCUAACUCUCGGCUUGGGAUAGCCACAUAUUGUGUGGACCCACAAAUUAAUUUAAGAUGAUAGUCCAGCUUGGGUGGAUAGGUUUCACCAGAGUUAUGAG